GGGCGUGUGGUCUAGUGGUAUGAUUCUCGCUUUGGGUUGUUCAACAUAAAUAUGCGAGAGGCCCUGGGUUCAAUUCCCAGCUCGCCCC
rnacentral:tRNA from 1 species